AAGCAAAGUCCAAAGCCUUUGUCUUCUGUGCAACCAGUGAGCUCUGCCUACACACACACGGUGGUCUUCAGUGAGCACAUUCCUUUUCUUUUCGGACAUAGUCAGAUAAAGGAACUUGCACGGGGUGCUUUCCUAAGACAGACCUGUAGCUGUAUAGAUAAGGAAAGUUACACAGAACCAGACACGUCCGCAGUGACACAGAGUCAAUAAGCAAAAUAAAACAACAUGCAGUAACUCAGGCUAAGGACCUGCAUGCACACUAGAGGGAAGAGGUGGAGCUAACAAGAAUUUGUAUGUAUGCAAAUAAGACAUCCAGUCCUAACCAGUUUUUCAUGCCUUAUGCACACAAAACACUGUGACUCAUUAGCUUUUAUUUUUGUAUAUAAAAGUCUGCAUUCAACUGUGAAAUGACAACCCUCUCAGUCUUCCUCUUCACAGUAGUCAGCUUUUCUCUUUCGCUUAUUAAACUUCUCUUCCAACAUUACCAUUGGUGUCCACAAUCCUUAAAUUUUGGGUCUUGAGACAAAGAACUCCUGGUGAUACUUCAAACAACAAGACUGCUCCAGUGACCCUAGGCUGCUUCACUGUAAAAGCAAACUUCCAGAAACAAAACAGACAAAACUUUGUGACGACAAAUAUCACAGUUGCCACACAGGCCAGCAGAAACCCAAUCACAUCCAAAGAGUGGUACUGGAACCAGGCUGGAGUGCAGCAGCAGCACCAUCUUGGCUCACUGAAACGCUCACCUCCCGAGUUCAAGCGAUUCUUUCACAUCAGCCUCCUGAGUAGCUGGAACUACAGGUACAUGCCACCGCACCUGGCUAAUUUUU
rnacentral:lncRNA from 1 species